UUUUUUUUUUUUUUUUUUUUAGGGCCACACCUGUGGCAUAUGGAGGUUCCCAGCUAGAGGUCAAAUCAGAGCUGCAGCUGCCGGCCUACACCACAGCUCACAGCAAUGCUGGAUCCUUAACCCACUGAGCUAGGGUGGGGGUGGAACCCACAUCCUCAUAGAUACUCGUCCUGUUCAUUACUUCUGAGCCACAAUGGAAACUCUGACAUUCGUUCUUUUUUCAAACCUUAAUUAAGCACAGUGAGCCUGGCACUGGUGAUAAAGAGAGAUGAAGGACAGACAUUUUCCUCCAUGUAAAAAGUGCUCCCGGAAUUCCCGUUGUGGUGCAGUGGAAACGAAUCCAACUAGGAACCAUGAGGUUGUGGGUUUGAUCCCCGGCCUCGCUCAGUGGGUUAAGGAUCCAGCGUUGCCAUGAGCUGUGGUGUAGGUUGCAGACGCAGCUUGGAUCCUGCGUUGCUGUGGCUGUGGUGUAGGCUGGCAGCUGAAGUUCUGAUUCGACCCCUAGCCUGGGAACCUCCAUAUGCCGAGAAUGCAGCACUGAAAAGACAGAACAAACAAACGAAAAAACCAAAAUGGGCUCCCAAUGGAGUACACACAGGAAAGUGGAGCACAGGGGAAAGGUGUUCAUUUCAGACUGGAAUCAGGGAGGCGUUCUUGGACUUAAGUCUCCAUUAGACAAGCAGAAAUCAGCCAGCUCGAAAGACAAAGGAACACUCUGUGCAAAAGCAAGGAGGUAUGAAACAGGUUUGAGGGGCCUUACAACAACCAUCUGAAGGAGGCACUAAUUAUCAUCCACAUUUUACAGAUGAUGAGACUAAGGUCUAAAGCAAGCUUGGCAUUGUUUCAGUGCAAGGGGAGGAGCGAAUGGCAGAGACACAGGCAAGGGCUGAUUGUGAGACUUUUCCACACUUUGCUCACUGCUUUGAAUUGCAUCAUAAGUGCUCUCAGAGGGAUUUUAAACAGGGAAGUGACAAGAUCAGAUCUGGCCAUAAUGUAAAUGAUAGUGGGAGUGACCAAGAUUAGAAUGAGAGGGCUUUGUCUGCAGGCUAUCGGAGUAACUCAGAUGAAAAAUUAUGAAGGCAUGAAGCAGAACUGAGCGACUGCUAGAUAAGGCGAGUGAGGGAAGAGAAAAAAACACAGGAGCCAAUCACAGGUUUCUGAAUUGUGCAACAGAGUGGGUGACAAAGCUAAAUGCCAAGAAAGACAACACAAAAAAUAGCAGGAGGAGGUUGGAGAGGAUGCAUAGUACCCAUAGCUUCCACACCUGCUACUUCUCUGCAGCCCUCAGCACUUCUACCACUCCAGUUCCCAAGCAGCAAGUAGAAGGUACAGGGACCCUGGAGGACUUGGGGGACAAAGAGUCACCUACAAAGGAGCUGGAAAAGAAAAUGCCUACAGGCACUAGAAAGGAAAACCAGUGAUUUUGACCGCUGUAGAAAUCUUGGAACAUGAAGAUCUCAGAAGCUAUCAAUUCCGUGGCAUUUACUUCCAAUUCAUUACUUAUCAAUUCAUUCAGGUUCAAUGUACCUACAACACUUGGACUGCACCCCACAUUGCAGGGAGGUGCGCUUACUGUGAUGGAAGAUGGUUCCAGCCAACCAGGCUUCUGCUGACCUCUGGGCUGGCUCUGAUCCUGGCCUGAUGGUAAGAAUUUAGGGAGCCUGUUUCAAGAACUCUAUGGAACUACGAACUUCCUAGCUGAAAAAAAGGAAGUCUCGACUUUGUGAGGGGAAACAUGAGUAGGGUGGAGUCUACUCCACUCCCUAGCCCAGUAUCUGUACCUUUGUUUUUGGCCUAAGAUUUUGGAUUGGCUCAUCCCGUCAGAUCUUCAGCUCAGAAAAUUUGGGGAAAAAAAGAAAAAAAAAUUUUAACCCACUUAUUUUUAUUUUUUUUCUUUUUAGGCUGCACCUGUGGCAUACAGGAAGUCCCCAGGAAGGGGUCGAAUCAGAGCUGCAGCUGAAGGCCUAUACCAUAGCCACAGCAACUUGGGAUCCAAGCCGCAUCUGUGACCUAAACUGCUUGCUGCAAUGCUGGAUCCUUAACCCACUGAGGACAGGGAUCAAACCCGCAUCCUCAAGGAUACCCAACCCUUAGUUGGGUUCUUAACCCACUAAGCCACAGUGGGAACUCCUUAGUCUAGUUAUUAUCUCUCCAUCUUAAUGCAACUAAUGGUAAUUUUUUUUUUUUUUGUCUUUUUGCCUUUUCUAGGGCUGCUCCUAUGGAAUAUGGAGGUUCUGAGGCUAGGGGUCUAAUUUGAGCUGUAGCCGCUGGCCUACACCAGGGCCACAGCAAUGCGGGAUCCGAGCCGAGUCUGCAACCUACACCACAGCUCAUGGCAAUGCCAGAUCGUUAACCCACUGAGCAAGGGCAGGGAUUGAACCCGCAAUCUCAUGGUUCCUAGUCAGAUUUGUUAACCACUGAGCCACGACGGGAACUCCGGUAAAAUUUUGAUACUACAUUUCCUCCAAGUUUUCAAAAAUGUAGUCUUUCUUAAUAUACUUGUAAUCUCAAUGAGAAAUAUAAUUUUUCUUUCUGCUUCAUUACUUAAAAUUACUUAGUGUUCACUUUCUCAUUCCUUAAUCUCAGUUAUCAUUUUCAAUAGUAGAAAAAUAGUCCUUUAAAAUGACAUAAUUUACUUAACCAUUUAAACUGUACAUGUAAAUUGUUUCCAAUCUUUUGCUGCUUUAAAUUUACAUUAUAAAUAUAGCUUUUUCUCUAUUUUGGUUUAUUUCCUAAGAAUCCAGUCCCCAUCAUGUAGUGUUUAAAGUAUCUGAGUUCUGCAAGUAAUCUAACAGUAUACAGUAAGUAUAAUGAGUCAUAACCUAAUAUGUAUUGACCAAUACAUGUCAACUGAAAGGCAGAAGAGGCAUGUGUAGGCUUCGGAGUUGUGAAUCUGGGAUCACCUCAUCCAUACGUCUCAUCCUAAAAGGGCAACUCUAGGUAUGAUCAGUUCUAACAUCCUUUUAUGAACCGGUGCGAUAGAGAUCAUAGAAGACUUUCAGGAAUUAGAAUGACUCCCUUGAUUGUGGACUCUCCUAUCCGAUUUUAACUUUGAAAGAUUCAGCUAAAUGCAACGAACUUUCUUGAGCCCUACCAUAUACUCUAGUUCUAUGCCAGGAAGUAAGAUAAAGAGAGAAGACUUGGGCCCUGUCCUCAAAUGCUUGCAGACUCGAAUGCAAAAAAUGCUACAAGUAGAUACAGACACAGAAGGAUGGAUUUUCAGGGAAAAUAUCAAAAAGAUGAAGACUGAUAUGGUGACCUCUAAAGGAUAAAAAGUUCACUAAGGAAAGAACGGGAGGGCUGCUCCAAGCAAAGGCAUAGAGAGAUGAAAGAACUGUAUGACCUGCAUUAAAGCCAAAUCCUAGGAUUUCAGUCUUCAUGAAUGUAUGGUACAAAGGACAGUAACAAGAGGGGGAUGGCAAAGUAGAAGAGGGAUGACACCACAGAGGCUCUUUGGCUUUAAUGCAGGCUUAGAUUUCAUCUGUCAAGUCAAUGCAUCCAAAUUUGGGCCAAUAGGAAAAAUAACUGCAGGUGGCACAAGGACAAUGAUAUAUGUAUUUUUAAAAAUGCAUAUUCUAAAAGGACCUAUAGACAGCACAUCACUAUCGUGAUUUCAUAAAUGGUAUUACUUAUGAUGAAGCUACUGCAAUAAAAUGAGUCUUUAAAGAAUCCUGAAUGACUUGGAGUUCCCACUGUGGCUCAGUGGUAAUGGAACCUGACUAGUAUCUGUGAGGAUGCAGGUUCAAUCCCUGGCCCUGCUCAGUGGGAUCUGGCAUUGCUGUGAGCUGUGGUGUAGGUUGCAGAUGCUUGGAUCUGGCAUGGCUGUAGCAUAGGCCGGCAGCUACAGCUCCAAUUCGACCCCUAGCCUAGGAACCUCCAUAUACUGCAGAUGUAGUUCUAAAAAGAAAAAAAAAAGAGUCAUGAAUGACAAAGAAUGACAAAAUACUUUUUUUCUAUUAUGGGGAACCUUAAGGAGUUUCAAGCAAAAUGGUAACUUGAACUUAAGUUUUAGAAUGCUUCCUCUGGGAGCUCUCUUAUGGAGCAGCAGGUUAAGGAUCCAGUCUGGUCACUGCAGCAGCUUGAGUCACUGCUGUGGCUUGGAUUCAAUCCCUGUCCCAGGAACUUCCACAUGCAGUCAGCACAGCCAAAAACAAAACAAAACAAACAAAAAAAGAAAGUUCCCUCCAAUGUAAAGGAUAAAGUAUAAGGUGAGAAUGGUAAGAAAAUCAGUUAAACGACUGUUGCAAAGAUCCAGGAGAGAUGUGGUCAGAAGCUGAACUAGGUAGAGAGGAAUAAAAAUAAAGACUUAAGCUAUUUCGGACAUUGGGACCAAGGGAUGUGGAGAGUGACUGAUCAUGGGGGAAGAGAAAGUAGGAGAGUCUUGGGUGAUUCCUGAAGGAAAAGAGGUUUUUGUUAGUGUUUGUGUGCCUACCUGGACACAGAAAGUUGAAGUGGAACUAUUAAUGUUGGUUUGCGGCAUGUUUAGGACCCAUGUCGUGAGAAAUGAAGAUAAUGACAGUUUUAGUCUAGGAGAUAAAAAUAAAGAGAUACUUGAAAUAAAGGUGCCUGUAAACUCACAGUACAGACUUUGGGUAUGAGGGAUAAAGGUUAGGGAUAAUCAUUACUUUCUGUUGCCCUGAAUAGAAGAAAGGUCUUGCUUGAUCGUUGAUUAUAUAUUUUUCAAGUGGGACUUGCUAAGUUACAACUUUUUAAAUGUGUCUGCUUUUAAGAUUAAGUUACUGAAUCAAAAGCGUGAUUUAUAAAGUACGAAAGUACUAUUAAAUAUUCUCAACACAGAUUACCAAAUAUUAACAUAAGAAACUAGUUUAUCUUUGUUGGGAGAUUAACUCAGGACAAUUUCUUUUCCAAAGUGCACGAUGGGGAGUUCCCUGGUGGCCUAGUGGGUUAAGGUCCAAGCAUUGUCACUACUGUGGCUCAGGUUGCUGCUGUGGUGCAUGUUCAAUCCCUGGCCCGGUAACUUCUGCAUGCCAUGGGCACAGCAAAAGAAAAAGAAAAAAGAAAAAAAAAUCCGAAGUGCAAGACAGUAUAGGGUUAAAACCAAUCUGCACUCUUAUGUUUUUUUUGUUUUUUUUGUCUGUACCUGUGGCAUGCAGCAAUCAGAGCAGGGUACAACCUGUCUCUACCACGGUGACCUGAAUCACAGCAGUGACCCAAGCCAUAGUAAUGACAAUGCUAGAUCCUUAGCCCACUUGGCCACAAGUCAAGUCCUACAAUAGUAAUGACAAUGCUAGAACCUUAGCCCACUUGGCCACAAGUCAAGUCCUACAACUGCUUUUAGUUCUCAAGACAUCUGUUCCACCUGUAUGUUCUCUCAGUACUUACCAUAGUACAUAUAUUGUAAAAAUUUAUACUGUCAUUCCUUUCUCCCAAACUAAAUUGUGAGCUCGGUGAGGGAAAAGGUUGUUUCUUAUUCAUCUUUAUACUAUUAGUAACCAACACCUAACAUACUGUUAGAGAUUAAUUAAUAUUAAUAUUUAUGUAUUCAUGAAUACAUCAAUGAUCAAAACGUAGGGAUAUUGGAACAGACAACAUUUAUUUUUGUCUUUUUUUUGUGGCAUAUGGAGGUCCCCAGGCUAGGGGUCCAAUUGGAGCUGUAGCUGCUGGCCUACACCACAGCCACAUCACCUCGGGAUCCGAGCCGCGUCUGCGACCUACACCACAGCU
rnacentral:lncRNA from 1 species